rnacentral:rRNA from 1 species
AGUGCAUGUGGUGGAUGCCUUGGCAGUCAGAGGCGAUGAAAGACGUGAUAGCCUGCGAAAAGCUCCGGGGAGGCGGCAAAUAUCCUUUGAUCCGGAGAUGUCUGAAUGGGGGAACCCACCUACUUUAAGGUAGGUAUUGCAACAUGAAUACAUAGUGUUGCAAGGCGAACGAGGGGAAGUGAAACAUCUCAGUACCCUUAGGAAAGAAAUCAAUUGAGAUUCCCUCAGUAGCGGCGAGCGAACGGGGAUCAGCCCAUUAAGUUAUGUGUGUUUUAGUGGAACGCUCUGGGAAGUGCGAACGUAGAGGGUGAUAUUCCCGUACACGAAAGGGCACACAUAAUGAUGACGAGUAGGGCGAGGCACGUGAAACCUUGUCUGAAUAUGGGGGGACCAUCCUCCAAGGCUAAAUACUCCUGACUGACCGAUAGUGAACCAGUACCGUGAGGGAAAGGCGAAAAGAACCCCUGUGAGGGGAGUGAAAUAGAUCCUGAAACCGCAUGCAUACAAGCAGUGGGAGCACCUUCGUGGUGUGACUGCGUACCUUUUGUAUAAUGGGUCAGCGACUUAUAUUCAGUAGCGAGGUUAACCGUAUAGGGGAGCCGUAGAGAAAUCGAGUCUUAAUAGGGCGUUUAGUUGCUGGGUAUAGACCCGAAACCAGGCGAUCUAUCCAUGAGCAGGUUGAAGGUUGGGUAAACACUAAACUGGAGGACCGAACCCACUGUCGUUGAAAAGCCAGGGGAUGACUUGUAGGAAUAAGGGGUGAAAGGCUAAUCAAGCCUGGUGAAUACGCUGGUUCUCCCCGAAAGCUAUUUAGGUUAGCGCCUCGGACGAAAUAACCAUAGGGGGUAGAAGCACUAGUUUCGGCUAGGGGGUCAAUCCCGACUUACCAAAACCGAUGCAAACUCCGAAUACCUAUGAGUACUAUCCGGGAGACAGACUGCGGGUGACUAACGUCCGUAGUCAAGAGGAAAACAAUCCAGACCGCCAGCUAAGGCCCCAAAAUCAUAGUUAAGUGGGAAACGAUGUGGGAAGGCAUAGACAGCUAGGAGGUUGGCUUAGAAGCAGCCACCCUUUAAAGAAAGCGUAAUAGCUCACUAGUCGAGUCGGCCUGCGCGGAAGAUGUAACGGGGCUAAAACUAUGUGCCGAAGCUGCGGAUGUAUACUUUGUAUACGUGGUAGGGGAGCGUUCUGUAAGCCGAUGAAGGUGUGUUGAGAAGCAUGCUGGAGGUAUCAGAAGUGCGAAUGCUGACGUGAGUAACGACAAAACGGGUGAAAAACCCGUUCGCCGAAAGACCAAGGGUUCCAGUCCAACGUUAAUCGGGGCUGGGUGAGUCGACCCCUAAGGCGAGGCCGAAAGGCGUAGUCGAUGGGAAAAUGGUUAAUAUUCCAUUACUUCUGUGUAAUGCGAUGAGAGGACGGAGAAGGCUAAAUCAGCCUGGCGUUGGUUGUCCAGGUGAAAGGAUGUAGGCAUGUAUCUUAGGCAAAUCCGGGGUACUCUAUGCUGAGAUCUGAUAGCAAGCUGUACUUGUACAGCGAAGUGGUUGAUGCCAUGCUUCCAGGAAAAGUCUCUAAGCUUCAGUUACACAGGAAUCGUACCCGAAACCGACACAGGUGGUCAGGUCGAGUAGACCAAGGCGCUUGAGAGAACUCUGCUGAAGGAACUAGGCAAAAUGGUACCGUAACUUCGGGAGAAGGUACGCUGUUGUUGGUGAUGGAACUCGCUUCCUGAGCUGACGACAGCCGCAGAAACCAGGCCGCUGCAACUGUUUAUUAAAAACAUAGCACUCUGCAAACACGAAAGUGGACGUAUAGGGUGUGAUGCCUGCCCGGUGCUGGAAGGUUAAUUGAUGGGGUUAGCGUAAGCGAAGCUCUUGAUCGAAGCCCCAGUAAACGGCGGCCGUAACUAUAACGGUCCUAAGGUAGCGAAAUUCCUUGUCGGGUAAGUUCCGACCUGCACGAAUGGCAUAAUGAUGGCGGCGCUGUCUCCAGCAGAGGCUCAGUGAAAUCGAAAUCGCUGUGAAGAUGCAGUGUACCCGCGGCUAGACGGAAAGACCCCGUGAACCUUUACUGCAGCUUGACACUGAACUUUGACCUUACUUGUGUAGGAUAGGUGGGAGGCUUUGAAGCUGGAACGCUAGUUCCAGUGGAGCCGUCCUUGAAAUACCACCCUGGUAAUGUUGAGGUUCUAACUCUGUCCCGUGAUCCGGGACGAGGACCGUGUCUGGUGGGUAGUUUGACUGGGGCGGUCUCCUCCUAAAGAGUAACGGAGGAGUACGAAGGUGCGCUCAGCGUGGUCGGAAAUCACGCGUAGAGUAUAAAGGCAAAAGCGCGCUUAACUGCGAGACCCACAAGUCGAGCAGGUACGAAAGUAGGUCUUAGUGAUCCGGUGGUUCUGUAUGGAAGGGCCAUCGCUCAACGGAUAAAAGGUACUCUGGGGAUAACAGGCUGAUACCGCCCAAGAGUUCAUAUCGACGGCGGUGUUUGGCACCUCGAUGUCGGCUCAUCUCAUCCUGGGGCUGAAGCAGGUCCCAAGGGUAUGGCUGUUCGCCAUUUAAAGAGGUACGCGAGCUGGGUUUAGAACGUCGUGAGACAGUUCGGUCCCUAUCUACCGUGGGCGCUGGAAAUUUGAGAGGAUCUGCUCCUAGUACGAGAGGACCAGAGUGGACGAACCUCUGGUGUACCGGUUGUGACGCCAGUCGCAUCGCCGGGUAGCUAUGUUCGGAAGGGAUAACCGCUGAAAGCAUCUAAGCGGGAAGCCUACCUCAAGAUAAGAUUUCCCUAGGACUUUAUGUCCUCUAAAGAGCCGUUCGAGACUAGGACGUUGAUAGGUUGGAUGUGGAAGCAUAGUGAUAUGUGAAGCUGACCAAUACUAAUUGCUCGUGAGGCUUGACU